rnacentral:rRNA from 1 species
UACAGGGGGUGCAAGCGUUAAUCGGAAUUACUGGGCGUAAAGCGUACGUAGGCGGAUAAAUAAGUUGGGUGUGAAAUCCCUGGGCUUAACCUAGGAAUUGCGCUCAAAACUGUUUUUCUAGAGUACAGUAGAGGAGGGUAGAAUUUCCGGUGUAGCGGUGAAAUGCGUAGAUAUCGGAAGGAAUACCAGUGGCGAAGGCGGCCCUCUGGACUGUCACUGACGCUGAGGUACGAAAGCGUGGGGAGCAAAC